ACUAAUUUCAUGUUUCAUGUGGACUGCACUUCUUAAACACUCUCUGAACUUAACAGGACAGGACAAGAAAAAAAAAAAUGCAGACUUUGCGAUUAAAAAAUUGUGUUUUAUGAUAUUUUUGAUAAUAUCACAAAUGCAAUUAAUGGUUCAGCCCUUCAUUGAACAGAAACAGUAACUGGGAUGUGUGGUGGGACUGCUGGGGUUAGCACAUGGAGACACCUCCUGUCCUUCUGGUUUCACUGUCUUCUGGUUUGGUUUCUCUGCUGAUAAUCAGACACACUCACUCAACACAUCCUGACCAGCUUAUUUUUUUUUACACUGUGUCUGGAAAAUGUACUUGAUAUUUUUUUCACCAAGACUCUGUUUUGUUUUUGAGUGACAGUGACUCGUUGGUUGCCCUGCAUCUUCACCAGAGUGGGGAGGAGUUAAGACCAGACUGGUGGUAACCACCUCUCCCAGUAGCGCAUCACUUCUCUCUUUAGAAAAGACCAUUUGUUUGGCAGUUUUCAGCUCAAACUGGUAGACCGUGUUUGUGUAUAUGUUGCUUUGCUACGUCAAAUCUGUGUGUAUCACCAAAAUGGGGCAGAGGGUGAGUAUACCUGCUGGUAAGUACACUCCAGGGUGGGCAUUCAGGUGAACAUGGGACAUGGUCAUGUAUGUUAGCGUAUAUUCAACAAUGAGGAAGAUGAAUUCUCACAAUAAUUUCUCUGCUUUUCCAUUUUGUUUCCAUACCAGUGCUGUGUGCCAGAAGUUUCCCCAGCUUCUGAAGUUGGAUGGAAAUGACCUCCCCCCACACAUUGGCUUUGAUGUGGAAACACCCACCACUCUCCCACCUUGCAAGGUUAGUCAGUGUGAUGCUGAAUUGUCUGUGUCUGUUGUGUUCAAAACGUCACUUGUCAAAGUACAAGAAUAUAGAAGCCACUAUAUUUUUAGAUUCAAGCCUUUUCUGUAAUGAACGUCUCAUUUCUCCUGCUAAAUGUUGACCAUGUGAUCACACAGGGAAGCUGCUUUGGCUCUGAUGACGCUAAAGUCUACAUUCAGCGCUUUUUGCAACAGUGAGUUUCUAACACUUUUCUCUAUGUCGCUUCACAGCGUUUCUAACAAUAAGUAGGAAAUGAUAUCAGUGAUUGGUGUUGACAUGCAGAGUGUGUUUUGUUUGUUUCACAGGUACUACAGUGUGUACGACUCUGGAGACAGACAGUCACUGCUGGGGGCCUACCAUGAUGACGCAUUAUUAUCACUAACAACACCGUACAACGUCCAGAAUCCAUCAAGGUAAGGACACACACACACACACACACACACACGCAAAACUUUGUUUUACAACAUUACAAGGAACCUGAUUUGCAUGAACACACACACGAUGUGUUCUUCAGUCUCUGAGGGGACA
rnacentral:lncRNA from 1 species